rnacentral:rRNA from 1 species
UACGGGGGGGGCAAGCGUUGUUCGGAAUUACUGGGCGUAAAGGGCUCGUAGGUGGCCAACUAAGUCAGACGUGAAAUCCCUCGGCUUAACCGGGGAACUGCGUCUGAUACUGGAUGGCUUGAGUUCGGGAGAGGGAUGCGGAAUGCCAGGUGUAGCGGUGAAAUGCGUAGAUAUCUGGAGGAACACCGGUGGCGAAGGCGGCAUCCUGGACCGACACUGACACUGAGACGCGAAAGCUAGGGGAGCGAACAGG